rnacentral:sRNA from 1 species
UAACAAUCUUCCGUUAUUACAUUAAUUGCAUCUUAGCAGAUUUUAGAUUUAAAAAAGAAAAAAACCGAUAUAUUUUUAUUUGAAUAUUUUAAAGUUUAUAAGGGUGAAGCACCCAUGUUAAGAGAGGAAUUGGGUUACUUUACCCAUAUGUUUCAUAAUUGACCACUCAUUAUUGUUGGUGAUUAUAAUAGUAAUCUAUGGUUAAUAUGUUAUUUGUAUGGUAAAUAUAGGAUACAUGCAAAACUUUCUUCUCAUGCAGCAAUUAUCCUUCCACUUUUUAUACAUUUCUGUGGUUUUUCCAAUUUUAAAUACUGAUUGGUUGCUCUGAAAAAGUGUUUUUUAAAAAGAAAAUGGACAUAAAUAAACAGGACUUGUCAGGUAUGGGAGCAUAUGACUGUUGUUUACACAUUUUGAGACUGUUGAUUGUACUGAAUGAAAGAAUACAUCUUUUUUCACUAGCUCAGGUAGUUAGGAUAAAUGUUUUGAUGAGUGAAGUGGUGUUUUUAUAAAAUUAAACCCCGUCAGAAUCAUCUUAUAUUAACACUUUUGUAAUGUUUUGUUUUUUCACAUUUUGUGUAUAUAUAUAUAUAGACAUUCACGAAUUGAUUACAAUUAAAAAUGGAUUUU